GGGCCCGUAGUCUAGCGGCAGGAUGCCGCCCUCACGAGGCGGUGGUCCCGGGUUCGAAUCCCGGCGGGCCCA
rnacentral:tRNA from 1 species